GCCAAUGGCAUUGCCCGGUAGCUAUGUUCGGAACGGAUAACCGCUGAAAGCAUCUAAGCGGGAAGCCGGCCCAAAGAUGAGUCAUCCCUGACCUUUAAGGUCUGGAAGGGUUGUUAUAGACGAUGACGUUGAUAGGCAGGGUGUGGAAGCGUUGUAAGGCGUUAAGCUAACCUGUACUAAUUGCCCGAGAGGCUUAACC
rnacentral:rRNA from 1 species